AGGGACUGGGACCUCUCCAGCCAUUUGUUCCUGCUGUGAUGCUCUCACUCCUCUGUCCCCACCAGGAUCCUGGGAUUGCUGAGCCUUGUUUUGUCCCAGGGAUACAGCCUCAUGUGAUGCUGAAGGAGCCGGAGCAUUCUGCAUGGUGCAGCCCCUUGCCCACCCUGCCCCUGGUGAUGCUCUGCGGGAUGCAGCCCAUCCUCACCUUGCACUCAGCUGCCCUUCAAAUUGCUGCACACAGCAAUCCCCUUCUGCUUGAGCGUCCGCCAGGUCCCCAAGAGGUGAUGAUUCGGAGACAGCUCCUCGAUCAUGAACCCAUGAUGGUCAACAGCUUUCUGAUGGUGUUGGAGGUAGGGAAUCUUCUAUGGAGCAAACCCCAUGGAGGGGCUGGAUGUUUGUGGUGUUCAGUGAUGUUUUCCUGUCUUGAGUGCACUUGAGAUGCCUCCUGCAGCCGUGGCCAGGGAGGCAAACCUGUGUGCUGAUGUAAAGUGAGAUUCUAGGAUGCUUUUAGGCUUUUUAGCUGCAGUGAGGGCCAUUGGGGCUCUGUUUGCUGCUGCCUCAGAGGUGCCCGAUGUCUCCCUUGCACUUCAAGCC
rnacentral:lncRNA from 14 species